CGAAAGCAUUUAUCAGGGAUGUUUCAUUAAUCAAGAACGAAAGUUGGGGGCUCGAAGACGAUCAGAUACCGUCCUAGUCUCAACCAUAAACGAUGCCGACCAGGGAUCGGCGGAUGUUACUUAUAGGACUCCGCCGGCACCUUAUGAGAAAUCAAAGUCUUUGGGUUCCGGGGGGAGUAUGGUUGCAAAGCUGAAACUUAAAGGAAUCGAC
rnacentral:rRNA from 16 species